GGACUACACGGGUAUCUAAUCCUGUUCGCUCCCCACGCUUUCGCUCCUCAGUGUCAGUACCGGCCCAGAGCACCGCCUUCGCUACUGGUGUUCCUCCUGAUAUCUGCGCAUUUCACCGCUACACCAGGAAUUCCAUGCUCCCCUACCGGACUCUAGCCAUGGCAGUAUCGAGUGGCGACUCCAGGUUGAGCCUGGAGGUUUCACACCCGACUUACCAAACCACCUACGAGCUCUUUACGCCCAGUGAAUCCGGACAACGCUUGCCCCCUACGUAUUACCGCGGCUGCUGGCAC
rnacentral:rRNA from 1 species